AUAGGAGAAUUAGUGAGAAACCCAUUCACCUGCCCUCCGAAGGCAGAGGUCAGAGGUUCGAAUCCUCUUGGGUGCGCCA
rnacentral:tRNA from 1 species